ACAAGGGAUUUUUACAAGUUUUGAAAAGUUGGCUUGUUAUUUAGUCUUUUGUAUUUGCUUUUAAUGCCGUUAUAACUUAUUUGUAAUUUGUUUUCUUUGUUGCAGUAUCGGUCGCAGCCGUCUUAUUUUGUUCUAAUUCAACAAGAGCCGCAAGAAUAAGCAUGCAAGUCCGUAUUAGAAGGAGCUUCUUUAAAUUUAAAAGGGAUAGACAACUCGAUCUGCAGAGCACUUGUAACAGCAGUUUAGCGGGUAGCAACACUCAACCCACUGUAGGUUUUGGGAGUUUUCUUUCUGAAAAGCGAUCACACGUUCAGGGUGUAGUCAAUAGCGAAAAGAGAAGGAGGCUUCCCACAAGGUGAUCCUAAAUGAACCGAGUGGUGUCGUAUGGUCAAAUCAGGAGUGAGAUUUUCUCAAGUAAGUAAUACUUAAUAUAUAUGUGUAAAUCGAUCCUGCCC